GACCGUGUAGCUCAGUUGACAGAGCAUUGGGCUACUGUAGUAUUCCAAAUGUCGUAGGUUCAAUUCCCACCAUGGCCA
rnacentral:tRNA from 1 species